CUGCCGGGAUGAUCCCACCGAACUCUCUCUUGCCGACAGCCCGAUGGAGAAACCUCAAGGGGCUCUGAGCGGC
rnacentral:snoRNA from 1 species